AGUUACAUUAGUUUAUUUUUUGUCUUUUGUCUACUCUGGAAUCCCCGACCGGAAUUCAUCGUAUUUGCUCUUUGAUUUGUUUGUUUCCGAAAUAAAGAGUUCUGGGUCGAGAGAAAUUGUCCGAAGAAAUGUUUGUAGAAGUGAAGGAAGACAUAUCAGAGACUGCUUCAUUUGAUCCUACUGGAAAGAAAAAGAAGAAGAAGAAGAAGGUGCAGCCUCAGGAUGAAUCUGAUGAUUUUGUGGAUAAUCUGUCUGACCAAACAGUGAACUUGACACUAGUUGAUGGAGCAGAGAGUUCCUCUAAAAAGAAUAAGAAGAAGAAGAAGAAGAGAACUGUGCAGCUUAAUUUCUUGCAUGAUGAAAAUGUCGAUCCAGAAUCGGAUUCUGAUGGUGAGGGAGGAGGAGAAGAGUUUGCCCUGUCUCAGAAUCCUUUGGAAGGAACUGAUAGAGAUUAUAGAUACGAAGAGCUUCUAAGUAGAAUGUUUAAUAUGCUCCGUGAGAACAAUCUCGAGCUUGCAGGAGAUAAGCACAGGACUGUUAUGAGACCUCCACAAAUCCUUCUAGAAGGCACAAAGAAGACCCUUUUUGUUAAUUUUAUGGAUCUUUGCAAAACGAUGCAUAGACAGGCAGAGGAUGUCAUGACCUUCUUACUAGCUGAAAUGGGGGCAAUUGGAUAUUUUGACAGGCAGCAGCAAUUGGUGGUGAAGGGUAGAUUUCCUCCUAAAAUCUUUGAAGGGAUUCUGCAUAGAUACAUAAAUGAAUAUGUAAUAUGUAAUGACUGCAAAAGUCCAAAUACGAUUCUUACAAGGGAGGAUUGUGUUUUCUUUCUCGGUUGUGAGCAGUGUGGUUCUGUCCAGUCUGUAGCUCCCAUAAAAGCCGGUUAUGUUACAAGGGUCGGACAUCAGAAUACCGGGACAUGAACCAUUUUCGCUGCUCUUGUUCUCAUGAGCCUUGUAAUGCCUCCAGAGUGAGCCAGACGUUCUUGAAGCGAUUACUGGUGGCCAUAGUCAAAGGUUCAUUAGCGUUAGACCGAUCAUAUGAUUACAUCUGCGAUAGUUACCAUGAUAGUAUGAUGUCAUUGUCAUUGCUGCUUUACUACAAGCUCUGGACUUGGAAGGAGUACGAAGGUGGUUUCCCAGCGUUUGCAGUACUCAUUAGAAGACAACCACAAAAAGUGCUAUGCAACUUGUUCUCUGGCUUCUGUGGACUUGCAUUUGCAGGCAUCACAAUCCUGAGUUCAGUUGUUACUGUUGUAAUUGUGACUAAAAUGUUUCUUGCUAUAUACAGGAUGCCUCCUUGAGAGGCUUCAUGAGCAUCUCUUACCCUCUGGUUUUCAGUUUACAAUCUUAAGCAGCUCAUAAAAAGGCAGAAAGAAGGAACUUUAUGACCUCUCUCUGUCACUGGGUUUGCAUCUCGUCAUAGAUUCUUGUAACCAUGAACUUGUGUGUCAAUAAAAACUCCCUUCUUGUUCUCAAA